rnacentral:rRNA from 1 species
AAGCUCUUUCGACGAGUCGAGUUGUUUGGGAAUGCAGCUCAAAAUGGGUGGUAUAUUUCAUCUAAAGCUAAAUAUUGGCCAGAGACCGAUAGCGCACAAGUAGAGUGAUCGAAAGAUGAAAAGCACUUUGGAAAGAGAGUUAAACAGUACGUGAAAUUGUUGAAAGGGAAGCGCUUGCAAUCAGACUUGCGCCUGGUUACUCACCUGUGUUUCUACCCAGNGCACUUGACCAGGCUCAGGCCAGCAUCGGUUUGGGUGGUUAGACAAANGCCGUGAGAAUGUGACCCUCCUCGGGGGGUGUUAUAGCUCUCGGUGCAAUGUAGCCUGCCCGGACCGAGGACCGCGCUUCGGCUAGGAUGCUGG